UAGUGGCUUAGUGUAAUGUAGGAUGUGAAGUCACGCGAGAUUUCAACCUGCAAGCGAGAACAGAGGUGUGAGGCGCAGUUAUAUUGCAUAAUGGUCCUUCUUCAACACCCACAAUGGCAAUUAGGUUUCUAAUCGAGUUACUGUGAAAUAAACAGCCUAGUAUCCUUCAUAGUUUCAGAGUACAUCACAGUUUUGCUUUAUUUCAUUACUGAGACCACAUGAAUUGACACGUGAUUUCCAGUACCCCAGAUGGGACACCAGUCCAUCGUGGAGCACCAUGCACACACACACACACACACACUUAGGGGUGAGUUAGCAUAGCCAAACUACCCACUGGCAUGUUUUUAGGAGGAGAAAGGAAACUGGAGAACCCUGAUGAAACCCACACUGACAUGGGGAAAUAGACACAGAAACUCCAUCACUCCAAGAUCAGGUUCAAACCAGGCACCCUGGAGCUGUGAGGUGGCAACACGCUCCGCUGUACCCAUAAAUCUUUCAAGGCACUACAUUUUAAGGAAGCAAGUCUCUGUUCCCCAGGAGAGAGAGAGAGAGAGAUGCAGCAGUAGCCCUACUUGUAAAAGAUGACUUGUCCCAUGGGGCAGACUGAACUUUCAUAAUGUGCCUUGUUUACAGAAAAAGAGGGAAAAAGGUGAUCAGUUUCAAGAUAUGUGUAAUAUAAUCACAUGUUAUAAUCAAUAUGCUUUAUGGAGAGCUGAAGGUCUUGUAUUUUAUGUGCCAUGAAUUAAUAAUGUUCCUGUUAUAAUGACAUGAUAUUUCUGUGGAGGUUACACUGUGUGUGUGUGUCUGUGUGUGUGUGUGAGAGAGAGAGAGAGAGUGAUCGAUGGGAGAGCAGCAAUAUCUACCACACCUCAUCAGCUGAGUUAGACAAUGAAAACGCUUGUGUCUGCACAUUUACAUGGAUGGACAGUUUGUAAAAAUAAAUAAAUAAAUAAAUAGAUAGAUAGAUAGAUAGCAGAUGAUGGUUGCAUUACUGUACCUAAUUAUGAAAACACUAAGUUGUACUUUAUGUUGUUGUUCCUGUAAGUGAAAGUUUGGUUGGUGUGCAGCACCAGCGCUCUAUAUUUUCUCUGAGGCAUGUCGAUC